AAUUUUUGGCUCUCACUCACUUAAUACCAAAAAAUAAAAACACACACACAAAAAAAGUGAAAAAACACAUUUCAUUGAGAAAUCCCUAAAUCCCAAAACACUCUCUUCAUCGUUCCCGCCGCCACCACACUCACACUCCGGCGCAACUUUCUUCAUCGUUCCCUUCAAGAGAAGUGAAUGGGUUCAUCGUUCUCUCCAAUCGUUCUCUUAAGGUAUCAAAACUCACUCUCUCCAAUCUCUUUACUGUUCCCGUCGAGAGAAGUAAGAUCUGUCGUUCUUCCAAAACUCGACUGCUCUGUCUAUCUAACAUCCACCUCCAUAACCAAGAAUCAAGUCUCAAAUUUUAGUUUCAUUCCUCUUUUCUCUAUUUGGCAAAGAAUCUCCACAAACCUAAACCCCAAUUCCGAAAUUUUCCCAAUUCCUCCAUUAUUAGUUCAUGCAUGUACGAAUUAAGGCUUCAAACUCUCAUUUCAAACUCUCAUUUUACUCGCUCAAGCCGCACAAACGGGUAACUGAAGCUUGAAGUUUCGUUUUCCUUUUAAGUUCCAGAAGUUCCCUUGACACAUAAGGUUGGAAGUUUGGAUUGAAAAGAAUUAUAAGACGAGAUUCAAUUGGAGCACUAGAAUAGAUUGGAGAACAAGCUUUUGAUGUAGACUAUGUUGUGGUUGUAAUAAUCAAGUGUUGAGAGAGCUACAAUUACAAAGGUAGGGAAUCCUCUUAUGGAGUUAAAUAUGUUCUCAAUUCAAGAGCAGAGUUCUUAUGGUUCCAUGGACUGAUUUCAAAUUCUGCUUUCAAAUGUUAAGGAUGAGAAGCCAACCAACUGGUAGUUUGCAGAAUCUGUUCAGAUGAAGGGGAAACCAAUCACACAUAACACAAAUUGCUAUGUUCUGUUUCUAAAGUCUGAAUGCGAACCCUCUGCGAGACCACCGUGAGACCAUGCAAAAGUUGUUUGCUACCACACCAUCACUAUUUUCAAUCAAUGGCUCCAGUUGUAGUGGGAGAUGUGAUUCCAGACGGAGCUUAAUUUUGUUGCCCUUAUUUGUUGUCAUUUGUGUGUGUGCGCUAUAGGUCCGGGGUUUUUAAUGAUUGAGUCCAUUCGUUUUUUUAAGUAUCCUAAUAUAUAUUUAUGUUUUUCUAGGUAACCGAAUAAGAAAAGUCAAGAGAUGGUGGCACUAAUCAAGGAUUAUGAAGCAACAUCAUGUACCAGGGAAUGUUUAGAUAUUUUAAGAACUUAUUUUGCCAUAAUGUUUUGUAUGUUUAACCACUAUACUAAUGUUUAUGUUUUAGUUUUUCAAUGUUUGAACUACAUUGAUUUUUUUCCGUUUGGAACUUCAAGAUUAUGGAUGUUGUCACUACUUAAU